rnacentral:lncRNA from 1 species
GGCUUCAGCACAUUGCAGCACAGAGCGGCAAGAAAAGCAGCACAAUGUCUGAACUGCAGUCUCACUGACACUGAACGGAGAAAGACAAUGCUUUCCUCUGAGUAGUAAGCUACCUCAAGUGAAGGCAGGAAGACGGUGGUAGUAGAGUCCUCUUGGAAACACAUAGUGACAGAAUGAAAAUGAACAGAAAAAAGCUGCAGUGUGGGAAAUUCAAAUCACAUUGCAAGUGGAAUGAAGAAGACAUUUAUGGAUGUUACAGCAAGUGAAUUAACAGAUAUUUAAAGUGAAACUGAAAAAUGAAUAUGAG